AUUGCACGCUGGCGGCAGGCUUAACACAUGCAAGUCGAACGAGUGGCGGACGGGUGAGUAAUGUUUGGGAAUCUGGCUUAUGGAGGGGGAUAACUACGGGAAACUGUAGCUAAUACCGCAUACCAUAGGAUGAGCCCAAGUGGGAUUAGGUAGUGGGUGUGGUAAUGGCCUACCAAGGCGACGAUCUCUAGCUGGUCUGAGAGGAUGACCAGCCACACCGGGACUUAGACACGGCCCGGACUCCUACGGGAGGCAGCAGUGGGGAAUAUUGCGCAAUGGGGGCAACCUGACGCAGCCAUGCCGCGUGAAUGAAGAAGGCCUUCGGGUUGUAAAGUUCUUUCGGCGAGGAGGCGUUACUCGCAGAAGAAGCACCGGCUAACUCCGUGCCAGCAGCCGCGGUAAUUC
rnacentral:rRNA from 1 species